GAUGAACGCUAGCGAUAGGCUUAACACAUGCAAGUCGAGGGGCAGCACAAGGUAGCUUGCUAUCUGGGUGGCGACCGGCGCACGGGUGCGUAACGCGUAUGCAACCUGCCCUAUACAGGAGGAUAACCCGUCGAAAGACGGACUAAUACUGCGUAUGCUCACAACUUGGUAUCAAGUGGUGAGGAAAGAAAUUCGGUAUAGGAUAGGCCUGCGUCCCAUUAGCUUGUUGGUGAGGUAACGGCUCACCAAGGCAACGAUGGGUAGGGGAACUGAGAGGUUUAUGCCUGACACUGGUACUGAGACACGGACCAGACUCCUACGGGAGGCAGCAGUGCGGAAUAUUGGUCAAGGGGCGCGAGCCUGAGCCAGCCAAGUCGCGUGAAGGAUGACUGUCUUAGGGAUUGUAGACUUCUGUUAUACGGGAAUAACAAGAGUCACGGAUGACUCCGUGCAUGUACCGGAUGAAUAAGCGUCGGCUAACUCCGUG
rnacentral:rRNA from 1 species